rnacentral:rRNA from 1 species
CCUACGGGAGGCAGCAGUGAGGAAUAUUGGUCAAUGGCCGGAAGGCUGAACCAGCCAAGUCGCGUGAGGGACGACUGCCCUAUGGGUUGUAAACCUCUUUUAUAAGGGAAGAAUAAAUGCUACGUGUAGCAUGAUGCCUGUACCUUAUGAAUAAGCAUCGGCUAACUCCGUGCCAGCAGCCGCGGUAAUAGGGAGGAUGCGUGCGUUAUCCGGAUUUAUUGGGUUUAAAGGGUGCGUAGGCGGUUUUUUAAGUUAGUGGUUAAACGUCGGGGCUUCACCUUGAUUUGCCAUUAAUACUGUAGGACUCGAGUUCAGACGAGGUAGGCGGAAUAAGUUAAGUAGCGGUGGAAUGCUUAGAUAUAACUUAGAACACCGAUAGCGAAGGCAGCUUACCAGACUGCGACUGACGCUGAAGCACGAGAGCAUGGGUAGCAAACAGGAUUAGAUACCCGAGUAGUC